GAGGAGGCAUCUCCUUAUCAUUAAGUUCCGACAGUUAAGAUGAGCAUGCGUGACAUUAGCUAGUUGGUGAGGUAACGGCUCACCAAGGCCACGAUGUCUAGGGGGAUCUGAGAGGAUUAACCCCCACACUGGUACUGAGACAGGGACCAGACUCCUACGGGAGGCAGCAGUAAGGAAUAUUGGACAAUGGUGGCAACACUGAUCCAGCCAUGCCGCGUGAAGGAUGAAGGCCCUAUGGGUUGUAAACUUCUUUUGUACGGGGAAAAAAACCCUUCUUACGUGUAAGAAGCUGAUUGUACUGUAAGAAUAAGGAUCGGCUAACUCCGUGCCAGCAGCCGCGGUAAUACGGAGGAUCCAAGCGUUAUCCGGAUUCAUUGGGUUUAAAGGGUGCGUAGGCGGAAUGAUAAGUCAGUGGUGAAAUCUCGCAGCUUAACUGCGAAACUGCCAUUGAUACUGUCAAUCUUGAGUACAU
rnacentral:rRNA from 1 species